rnacentral:rRNA from 1 species
AUUGAACGCUGGCGGCAUGCCUUACACAUGCAAGUCGAACGGCAGCACGGACUUCGGUCUGGUGGCGAGUGGCGAACGGGUGAGUAAUAUAUCGGAACACACCUUGUAGUGGGGGAUAACUAUCCGAAAGGAUAGCUAAUACCGCAUACGCUCUAAGGAGGAAAGCGGGGGAUCGUAAGACCUCGUGCUAUAAGAGUGGCCGAUAUCUGAUUAGCUAGUUGGUGAGGUAAAGGCUCACCAAGGCGACGAUCAGUAGCUGGUCUGAGAGGACGACCAGCCACACUGGAACUGAGACACGGUCCAGACUCCUACGGGAGGCAGCAGUGGGGAAUUUUGGACAAUGGGGGCAACCCUGAUCCAGCAAUGCCGCGUGAGUGAAGAAGGCCUUCGGGUUGUAAAGCUCUUUUGUCAGGGAAGAAACGGUUGUGGCUAAUAUCCAUGGCUAAUGACGGUACCUGAAGAAUAAGCACCGGCUAACUACGUGCCAGCCGCCGCGGUAACAC